UACGUAGGGUGCAAGCGUUAAUCGGAAUUACUGGGCGUAAAGCGUGCGCAGGCGGUUUGUGCAAGACAGAUGUGAAAUCCCCGGGCUUAACCUGGGAAUUGCAUUUGUGACUGCACGGGCUAGAGUGUGUCAGAGGGGGGUAGAAUUCCACGUGUAGCAGUGAAAUGCGUAGAUAUCAGGAGGAAUACCGAUGGCGAAGGCAGGUCUCUGGGCUGACACUGACGCUCGAUGCA
rnacentral:rRNA from 1 species